CAAAGGGUAGUUUAAAUAUAAAAAUAUUAAUUUUGGGAAAUUAAUAAUAAGAAUUCUUUCUUUGGA
rnacentral:tRNA from 1 species